AUUGAACGCUGGCGGAAUGCUUUACACAUGCAAGUCGAGCGGCAGCGCGGGGCAACCUGGCGGCGAGCGGCGAACGGGUGAGUAAUACAUCGGAACGUGCCCAGACGUGGGGGAUAACUACUCGAAAGAGUGGCUAAUACCGCAUACGAUCUAAGGAUGAAAGCGGGGGAUCGCAAGACCUCGCGCGUUUGGAGCGGCCGAUGGCAGAUUAGGUAGUUGGUGGGGUAAAGGCUUACCAAGCCCGCGAUCUGUAGCUGGUCUGAGAGGAUGAUCAGCCACACUGGGACUGAGACACGGCCCAGACUCCUACGGGAGGCAGCAGUGGGGAAUUUUGGGACAAUGGGCGAAAGCCUGAUCCAGCCAUUCCGCGUGCAGGAUGAAGG
rnacentral:rRNA from 1 species